UUUUUUUUUUUUCCUACCUGAAACUUGCGCGUGUGUGUUUAGUUGUUUUCGGUUCUUGUAAAGAGCGGUGAUGGGGAACAAGGCUUAUUUUCACAAUCUCUGUGUACCACCCCUCCCCUACCCUCCCCCCAAAAUUAUUGUGGCAUGAAGUGUCAUUGCCUCCUCGGCAGCCUCUGUUUACCAGGGUAAAAGGUUAUUAUUUAGAAUUUGUUGUUCAGUAUAGGGUCCAAAGUUGCUUGGUCGACCUUGAAAUUGGACUUUCAGACAAGAAGCUUCCGUGUUAGUUCUUUCUUUGAAGGCUUUGGCUAUUUGGAUGCUGAUUUUUGUUUUUAAUUGAUCACGCCCUUUUCCGUGUUAUAAGGAACUAUAAAAAUGCACCAGUUGUGACUUCUUCAGUACUAUAAAGGUGAACAGAUAGACUGAUGAUAGAUAGAUCCCCAUGCCCCUUAAUUUUUUUCAUAUAUAUGUAUGUAUGCACAUAUAUAUCCAUCUUUGGUGGGCACAGUGUAUAAAAAAUAUAGAGAGAUUUAUUUAUAUAUCUAUAUUCAGAUAUCUGUGUAUAUUUUUAUACUUAUUUAUAUAUCUAUAUUCAGAUAUCUAUAUAUAUUUUUUGUACACCAUGCCCACCAAAGAUGGAUAUAUGCACACAUAUCUUUAUCUGCAUCUCUGCCUAGCUGAUCAGUCAUGUGUCUCUAUAGAUAGAAGUGAAGGAAGAGAAGAGAUAUACAUUUGGGAGACCUUGCAUGAUGCAGUGAAUGACUGGAGGCAAGCCAGGGUCACAUCUCUCACAUCUUCAUUUUCUCAUCUGUUUGUUGAAGAGACUGGAUCAUAUCGUGGUUCUCAACAGGCUGGGCAGGGAUAUCAGAAUGCCCUGGGGGUGCUUUAUCAAGCUAUAAAUGUUCCCUGGAAAUUCCUGUACUUACAGAGGCAUGAAACUCCCCCACCUACCCCUUCUUUGGGAAUUGCCACCAUGGAGCGAACAGUAUGAUGACCGACCCAUGCUGAAUCUCUCAUGGGUCCUGGGGUGAAGAAGAGUCUGAGACCACUGGCCCAGAGGGAGCACUAAUGGGGUCCCCUUGAGUUGGAACACUCUUUGAUUCCAUCGGCUAAUGUUUUCCCAAGGAUCCCUAGUUUGUGGGUUAUUCAGAUUCAGAUUAUUCUGCUAAACAAUUGCAGGCCUCAGCAUGGUUUGAGAAAUCCACUGUAUUCAUGACCUAGGCAGCCUUCCACCUGUUUCAGGGGGGUGUUGUACGUAGGGGUGAGGAUGAGGGGAUGAUGUAUAAUACAACAAGGAAGGGAGGAAAGAAGUAGGGCACCUAGGUUCAUCGGACCUGGCUUUUUCUUUUUUCCUUACAAACUUUUUUGUCGGAUGCCUUUCACAGCUCUGGCUUACUGAACGACUGCCAUUCUAUAAGAGAAUAGUAGUGUUUCUAUAAGUUAUUUUCUCCUUUUUCCAAGAAGAAUUGUUUAAUACUCAAAUAACCUUUUGUAUUCAAGUAGAUGAAUGUAUCCAAUACAUUUUUUAAUACCUUCUCUUUUCAGAUCAACCUCUACAAAUCUUCCCUUUUUAAUACUUCUGUUUUGAGGGUUGUUUUUUUUCCCCAUAUCCCUGACGUCCAAACCCCUCUGUCCUGCUUGCCACUGAAGAGGUCUGUAAAUUUCUGACACAAAAUAAAACUGAAAGAAUGCUUUCCCUCACUUAAGAGUAUUCAAAGAGCAUCACAAUGUAACAUGAUGAAAAAUGUUUUAACCUUUUUGGCUAAUUUAAGAGUUAUUAGUCAUUGAGCUUGAAAGCUGUUGUGUCUGGAAUUGGUAAUAGAAAGAAGUUCCAAUUUAACAGUGAUCACAAUGGUUGUUAAGAGUUCCUAAAUUAGUUUUAAAUGUUCUCACAAACACAAGCAUCUGACUUUUGAAUGUUUUCCUGAACUUUCUUCUGGUAAAGCUAAUUUUAAUGCUGUUUUUCUUCUCCAGCCUCUUAAAGUGGAAGCUUUCUUUUGGAAUAAAGGUACCUUUAAAGAGCUUUUAGAUGGCUAGCCUAAUCAUUAGAAUAUUAGAUUUUUCUUUAAUCUUUAAUAUUAGUUGAGUUUGUACUUCGUAUAGUAUUUCAUUCUCCUAAGUGGACACCCUUUCCCCCAGCAAAAGAGCUUAUUUUGACCUGAUUUGCAUACCUUCGCCAACAUCCCUCCCCCACCUUCCACGUUGGGUCACACAUCUAAAUUUCCAGAAAACACCCUUUUAAACCUCCAAUUGGUUGUAUUUGAAAGCAACAUGGGUUAAAGAGUUUGUUAAAAUGUGGGGUUGGGUUUCUCCAACCAACUAACAGUUGGUAGGAGAACAUAAAUUUCAUUAGCAUUAAACAAAUGUUCCUAAUAUUAAACACUGCCAGAUGACUGAAGCACUUCUGUCAGAUUACCGCGAGUGCCAGGGGGCCCACAGAUGAAUUUUCUACACAGUAUAUAUUCUGUACCACACGUUUGGUGACUUCAGUAAUUGGUCAAAUGUAAUUUAGGUAACAGUAUGCCUAGGCUGUAAAAAUCAAAUUUUAUUAGCCAUAUCACCAGGUGGGUGAAUGGUGGAGCUGAUGGCAAAGGGUUUAUAGCAUUUAUCAGCUACACCUUUGACACAUGGAAUUCAUAAAUUGCCAUAACGUACCUGCAAGGCCUUUCUCAAAAGGACAGUGUCUGCUUUCCUAUGAUUAAAUAAUGUUUGUUUUAUUAACUAAUAUAUUUUCUGCUUUCUCCUCUUAAAUGGGAUUAUGGAGUGGGGGUGAGAGAGGGCAUUCAGAAGAUAAAUAAAACACGGUUCUUGCUUGCUUGGAGGAUUUAAAAAUCUAAUUGGGGAAGACAGGAUUAACACACCUGAAAGGUUAACUAAUGUUACAAGAAAGUCAAUGAUUAAGUAUUUGGUGAGUGUUGCAGAAAGCAAGAACAGGAGGAAUUUAGCACUGGGCUGGCCGGGGCAGGGAGGGGGGUGAUCCUUGGAGGGGGGUCAGGGAAAGCCUCAUGAAAAAGGCAAGACUGGGUCUGGUUUUAAAGGACAGGGAGAGGGGCGCCUGGGUGGCUCAGUCAGUUAAGCAUCUGACUUCCACUCAGGUCAUGAUCUCACAGCUUGUGGGUUCGAGCCCCGCAUUGGGUUCCACGCCAACAGCACAGAGCCUGCUUGGGAUUCUGUCUCUCCCACUCUCUCUGCUCCUCUCCCACUCGUGCUUUCUCUCUCAAAAGUAAAUAAAUAAUAAAAACUUAAGAGAAAAAAAAAAAGGAUAGGGAGAAAGGCUAAUAGAAAAGUUUUGGAAAUACCUAGAUCACUGACAAUUCAUGUCCUGACUCUCCAUGUUAAGAAUGGCUGCCUUCACCCUGGGUGAACCGUUGGCCUUCCCUUACUUGGUUUGCCCCCAAUAAAUGGACUGGUGCCUUCUCUUUACCAGGGGGACAGGAAUAUGAGUCUGUGGACCAGGGCUGGGACGAACCCAGGCAGUGGCUUUAGAGCCUAAACUAGGCUUUCUUGGGCAGAGAUGACCCACAUCCUCUGUGCGUGUGACAGCCUCUUCCAACUGCUCAGACAUCAUCACCCCUCCCCACUGUUUCAAUGUUGUCCACUGAAUAACAGGUUUAAUUGAACAAUAAAAGUAAGGCUUUUAAAUCUACAAUGAAUCCCUAUAAAUAAAUUCUCCGUGGAAUUUUAUGAAGCUGUUUAAUGAAAAGUUUGAUUAGAAACUAUUAAAGAAAAAUAGAAUAGAUGAAAUUUCAUCAUUUAGUCCCACAUUACAGUGGUGUCAUUUUGAUUUUUAUUUACAUUGAGAUAUUCAGAAUAGAGUAAAUAUAUCCUGGUUUUAAUUAACUAUCCUCCUUACUUGGGAAAGGUUAUUUUAGGCUUGAAGGGUUUUGAUAGCAUACCAUCUGCUUUCGUCCCUGUAUUUUAUUCAAGUCCCUUCCCUGCUUACAGCGCUGUGCGAUAUCUAAACCUAUGACAUAAGCAUAAAUCGAAUCAUAUUAAUGGCAGGUGAUUGAAAAACUUGAGCCUCGACAUCCUGCCUGAAUCCUUCCGUCUUGUCAGUUACAAUGCUCUUAAAGGCAAUGUGCUGUUUUCUCAGCACAAGAAAAUGGACUAUUUUUAAAACUAAAGCAAUGGACUCCCCAUUAAAGCAUUGUGAAAACUGAUUGUAUUGCACAUGCAAUUAGGAAAUGAGAUUAUAAUAAUAAUGAAGGGAAAGUGACAUUACGAAUGACAAUUUUUCUCAUAAAAAUCUCUCCCCUGUGCAUAAUUCCUGCCCCCACUGUCCUGUUAGACUCUCCUAGCACGAGGCAUUCUUCAACCAUCCCCCCACCUUGCUUUUACCUCUUUUUAUAAUUUGAUUCCUCUUUUGUAAAACGCAUACCAUCAUUUAUAUCAUGCUAUUGUCUGGACGGUAGGAAAAACAUACACGUGCACCCAUUUUGCCUAUUUUCCCUGUUAGAACAAUAAAAUGCCUACCAGUUUGUCAUGCGUGCUGUUUACAUGACUAUCACACGAUUGAUUUCACAUGUGUGAAGUGUUGACAGCCAACUCCAAACAGAGGUGUGCACAGUACAGUAGGUACAUGGACAACUUUAAGGUACCAGCUUUAUCAGAUGUAAGGUGGACCCAGUAUAUAUAAAUGAGAUGAAAUCAGUCCGUAAAUAUGGGUGGAACUAAAUGGAUUAAGAUAUGGUUAAUUAAAAAUAUAACAAAAGAUACGGUUUAUUUUAGUCUGAGUUUUGAAUUACAAAGACAUAAGACAUUCUCCUAAGUUCUUUGCAGUCGGGGUGUGUGUGUGUGUGUGUGUGUGUGUGUGUGUGUGUGUUCCUUGACCAAGGAAUGGGAUGGAGUUAAAGGAAGGAUGUGGUAAUUCACCUGAAAAGAGCAGAGAUCAGAUGGACUGCCGUCUUGGCAUUUGGUCCACGUGCAGGAAACCAUGAGGUCCUACCCUCAGGGAGAAGGUGGCUACAUCAGCAUUAAAACGUAUCCUUUGCUGAAGCGCAAGGAGCAUGGCACCAUUUAGGAGAAAGAAGUGCCAGGCUUACAAUCAGGUACAGUAUUAAUCAAGGCUCGCCUGUCUGAUUUGCUAUUCCUCUGGGCAAGAGAUGUAAGUCCCCUCACUUGUCCCAUCUUUAAAACCGGGUAGUAAUAGCUCAUCGCCAGACUCAGACUAAAUCUGUAUCCACUUGACCAAAAAAAAGUCCUCGUGGUGAAUGAAGAUUCUCUACUGUUUCUAUUAGAACUUAGGACUUAGACAACUUAGAAUCAUCUACACUGAUCUUGCUCUGUAAAUAAUAAAGGAACUGUUCCUCUAAGGCCCUGGGACUCUUUCUAGAACCAUAAUGGAAAAGAAAACUUUCCUACUUUUUACAGUAUGUUUUAAAGAAUCUUUUCUGACUCUGCACUGAACUUUCCAUUUCUGUUUUCCUGUUGGGUGAAAUAAUGACAUUCUAGACAAAAGAAGAAAAAGCCAAGGGAGGGAGGAAAACAGAAGAGGGAAUGAAACUUUGACUUCUUAUGAAAGAAAAUUCAGGAUGCAUAAAAUUAUUUUGAAGCAGAGGACGAGCUGGACUGUGCCUCUUCCCUCUAAACAUCACAUGUUUUGCUGGAAAUGAAAGGAAAGGCAGUUGUUUUGUUAAGGAUCAUGGGAAUUUGUAAGUGAGUAAACAUUUUUUUUUCCUUGCCAAAGUAGGUUUCAUGGUCACAGUGGAUUUCGAUGAUCAAAUGGCCUUGCUCCUGGCCCCUGUCCACAUUCAGGCUUUUGCUGCCUGCCUGCAGUGCCCACUGAUCUCCCAAAUGAUAACAAGGCAGAUGUUUCUCUUUAAUUGAAGCAGAGUGGAAAAGGAGCCGUGCUUCUUGUAUAUUGCUAUUUAUGCAGAAGACCUUAACCUUCAGAGAUCUCUCUUGGAGGACUGUUUUGUCUUGGAAAUUUUCUAGAGAUUCUGUUUGCCAUUAGAUAGUGGCCUACCCAGGACCAUGCUUGGUACUUUCUGUUUAUUGCAUGUGCUGCCCAAGUAGGGGCAGAGGAAUGUUUAAGUUCAUCAUACAACGUAGUAAAUGUAGUGGUAUAUCGGAUGUGCUCAAUAGUACAUGUAAUGAUUAACAUAUGGCCUUGGCUUCCAGGACGCUAAGACACAAAGAGGGCUGGAGAGCAGACCUCCUGGGGCAGAGCAUUAGAAGCUAGGGUACCAUCUCUGUGGAGGGUUAACGAACAGAAUUUUUAUGUUGUUACUGCAAGUUAACUUUCAGAGUCAUGCUAUAUGGAAUGGGUAGGAUUCAUGGAUUUCUUUUCUAUUUUUGGAGCUUGAAGGGAUAUUUUAAAAUAACUGUGGACUCCUUUUGUAGCCGAGGGGACUCAAUGGGUUAUUAAAAACUAUUUGGACUCACGGGUACAACAAACUCUUGUUCACUCCAGAAGAAAGGAUUUGUGUCUAUAUUGGCUAAUAUUUCACCUAGCAUUUCAUUUAGAAAAGCAAGAAAGUUAUAUCCCAUUACAUUAGCAAGAUCAACAUAUUCCUCUCUAGGGUGAAAUAGAUAUUUUUAUCAGUUAACACACACACACACACACACACACACACACACACACCACAGGAAAGAACCAGGUCAUUGAAAAAUCACAGGCAAAUGUGCUACUUAGGGUAGGGAUGGUAGAAUGAGGAUCAGAAUAAGUCUGUAUUCGCUUGAUUUAUAAAAUCCUCUUGAUAGCAAAAGAUACCCUCUAAACCCCUUCAUUCUAUCUGCUCAAGGAAAUUGGAUUGAUUAAAGUUCCUUGGACUGUAGCGAGGCUGUCUGGGGAUGCUGGGAGCCCACCACAGUGCCUGACACUCAGUACGUUCUUGUCCAUUUAUGCAUUGCACCAAUAUCUAUUACACACUUACCAUGUGCCAGGUAUUAUUCUUGUCCCUGUGCACACAGUUGUAAAUAAGACAAAACAAUUUAUACUCCUAAUGAUCUUACAGUGUGGUAUGUGGGGAGAAGAUUGGGAAAAUAUGGGAUAGGCAUGCCAUGGGUAUUAACCAUACCUCACGAGCUGUGAGGAUUAGGACACUUAGAUGGUCCAUGGCAAGUACUACUUAAGUACUCAUCAUUAACUAAGUCUUCUUGUACCUCUUGCACCACGCCACACAACCUUACCCACCUACCAAGUCCAUAGUGGUUCCUCAAAAAAACAUUUAUAGAAUUAUUUCAUACCUAUACAGACUACUGGGGAAAUGAGGUAUCAUUUGCUAGUAAAUAUCAUUCAACAACCACUCAUUCCAGAAAUACUUGUUUGUCCUUCUGCAUGGAAUGUGUUUCCCCAGAUAUCAUGGGUCUGGCUUCUUCUCAUCAUUGCAUCCUCAGCUCAGAUGUCUGCUCCCCAGACAAGUCUUCUCUGACUUGCCCCUUUUCACGUGUUCCGCUGUACCCCGUCACCCAACAUAUACUUACCGUCCUAUAACUUAUCUCUAUCUGAGAUUAACUAUCAUAUUUGUUUUGUUAUAUGUUUAUCGUCUGUCUCCCCCAUCCCCACCUGUGUUAUAAUGUAAGCUCUUUAAGAGAGGGUUCACGUGGGGCACCUGGGUGACUCAGUCAGUUAAGUGUCUGACUCUUGAUUUUGGCUCAGGUCAUGAUCUUACAGUUUGAGAGUUCGAGCCCUGCCUCCCUGCUUGGGAUUCUCUCUGUCUGCCCCUCCCACGCUCGCUCUCUCUCUCUAAAUAAAUAAGUAAACUUUAAAAAAAGCGGGUUCACAACCCUGUACCCACCCAGGAACCAGAACAAUACUAGACACACAGUAGGUGUGUAAUAAAUAUUGGGUUAAAUGAGUGAGUGGAUGCAUAAAUACUCUGUGUCAAUAUCAUUGCUCUCCCCCAUUUUUUGAAGUAAGAACACUUAUGCACAGUAAAGUUGCCUAUCAAGUGGCAGAACCAGGGUUUGAACCUAGACACUCUGGCUCAGCGUCCAUGCUCUGUACAAUGACACUAGACUGCCUUUCAGCUUGGACCUGGCUCAGAAAGAUCUUUCCAGCUUCCUAAGAUCCGGCUUCCUGGAAACAGAUAACUGGUCACCAGCUCUCUAGAUAAUGAAUAUACAGUGGGUUCUGUAGGCUUUACAGAGACUGGUGUGUGUUGGAGAGGUUAGGAGAGGAAUGAUCAUGACAAUUCAAAAUCUGAUCAGGAAACGUUGAUGCCAGCCACCGUCCUCGCUUGUCUGUAUUCUACCAGCCUCCCUGAUUCAGCCUUCGCUGGCCUGUGGUCUCUUCUGCACACCAGCCAGAGUGGUGCUCCCCAUCUCAUCACAUAAGCAGGUAUAAAUAGAGAGCCCUGUGAGAGCUGGAGGUUGAAAGGGGCAGAUAGUAAACUGCCCUGUGUUCCCAUGGACUCUUUUUAAGGCACGGGGUUGUGAUGCUGACAGGACUUUGAUUAUACACCUCUCUGUAAUUUUCUGCUUAGGAACGCAUUGGCUUUCCCAACUUGGCAUCCUCCCUUAAUGAAAAAAUUAUAGGUCUAAUUUCAAAAAAUGAAAUGUAUGCAAGCUUUCCUGCUUCUGUCACUUCUUUAUUCCUGUAGCACAUAAAUCAUUUCCCUUCUUAAAAUUAAAUUUUGCUUGCCAUGAUCUGGUAAUGGGUUUUCAAAGGAGGCAGACUAGCCAAGCUCUUGGCACAGGUGCAGGCGGCACUGCCUGCUCAGGAAAUCUUCUCAUCGCUGGCUGGCGUGGGCCUCGACUCCAUCAUCUGGGCUUUAUGCUCCCUCUGGAAGUUGCCUAGAAACUCUCUCCCUGAGAGUCUCUUCUCUGAACGGCCUUUUUGGCUCUCCAGUUGCCAUCAUGGAAGACUGAAGAACAGAUGGGAUUUGGGCAGAAAAAGACUGGUACGUUCUAAUACUUCUGGGUGCUUCCAUUCAUGCAUUGAACACCGGCUCUGUUGAAGGCGGAGGUCCAGGCAUUGUUGGGACAUGGGUCUCUGCUCUAAGACACUUAAAACUUGAGGUGGCAGAGAUAAGACAUAGAGUGAUGGACCACUAUAGAUAUUAUUGUGAUCUUCUUAAAAAUUCCUCAUCUUACCACGAGCAGCCUUAUAACAUAGUUAUUUCGGGGUCACAGACCUAGCACGUUGCCAAAGUGGGAGUUAGCACCCCCACCCCAGUCUGCUGACCCCAGGGGGUACACGUUUCCACCCUAAAGUGACAGAAGCAUGGGGCUAAGAUUCAGGACUUAUUUUGAUGUUCAGAGGAGAUGAUAUCUGUCAAGCUUUGUAAAUGGGAAAGCUCUGCCAUAUAAUCGGCACUGCAAGGCAGUCCACUAAGGGCUAACCAGAGGAGGCCAAAUUGUAGGUGCCCCUGGAAUUAAAAGAUGUAAAAGAGGGCCCAGAUGUCAGGAGAAGGCUCUGAAAGGAAGUGGAUCUUCAACUGUACCUUGAGGGAUUCAAAAAAAAAAAAAAAAAAAAAAAAAAGGAAGUUAUUUCAGGUGAGGAGAUGGAAAAUACUCCAGACUUUGAAGCUCAAAGAAAGAGAUUGUUUCCUCUGCCAUUUUUAGCUUUCAGCAUAGACGUUAAAACACACACACACACACACACACACAAAACAAAACAAACAAAAUACCAGCCUCUGCAAGCAAAACUUUUUUUCUUCCUAGAAGAUGUCACCUUCCCCUGAGGGAACCAGUGCUUCUGAGUCCUCUCAGAGACCCCAUUGUGGUUAGGACCCAGGGGAAGCCUCUUGGAGGAAAAAUCAACUUGUCUCUUAUUAAAUUGGAAAUUUCCCCUUGGGCCUAUAAGAAGGAGAAGGAGAGAUGCAUCAACUUUGCAGCAGGGGGUAAAGGACUGAGGUGCCUGCUUGGUUUCCUGGACGUUUAGGGGCUGCUUCUAGGUUGAAACUGUAGAUUCAGAACAAUCUUCUAGAACACUUCACUCCGUGUCCUUCUGUGUUCCUCAGUACUUUCUCAAAGUUGCUUUUUUCUUCUGUUUGGUAUUAAAGUUAAUGGAUUCUAUUGCAUUUCUCUUCCCUAGAUUCUAAGCUCCUAGGGGGAGUAAGAAUCAUGUGUUACUCACCUCUGUAUCAACACAUGUUUGUGUAAGUGAGUAAAAAUCCUGCCAAAUGUCAGAAGGCUUCAAAUUAUCAUUUUAUCUCCUUCCUUAAAGUCAAGUAUUUCUUAACCUCAAUCUUUAGCUCAUUGCCAAUUGAUUGAAUUCUCAAGGGAAAGUAUCUAGCUCAAAGGACAUGUUUUUUUUCCUCAACAUUUACUCACCUCUUCAAACCAGGGGAAUGUUCUUCAUAAAUCGGUCAAGAUCUUUGGUUGACGAGUUUUCAUUGGUUACGAUGUUUAAUAGAUCCCGGAGUCUGCACAACCUAGAAGGGUGUUCUCUGAGGAAGUCAAGGAGCAUCCAUAAAUUAAAGCAAAUAGUAGCCUGUACCCAUAAGUCACCACACUGAUCUUUCCAGCCUCUAACCCACAGAUCUCAGAAUUCGGUGUGAAAAUCAAGGAACACUGGCAGGGUCAUUAGCAUCUAGGACAUUGACAAGUUCCAAUUAAAUGUGGGCUAUCUGGAUCUGAAACAUAAUAUAGAUCACAGUUCACACUGGGAUCAGAUCAGAAAAUGUUGGAAAAGAAAAAGCUUAGCCAAUUGAACAUUCAUUACUAGGAAGAUUACUUGGUGGAUGGCACUUACACCCUGAGCAUACUUUGUGGAUUGUUGACUUGCGUCGUGUUCUUUAUGGAUGAGGAUGAGACCUUCUAUCUCUCAGGAGAGCUUCAGUGAGGAGAGCUCCAUCUUUGGAUGAGGCAAGUUCACAACACACAGGGUUUAACAGGCCACACUUUCUUCCUCACAGUUCCAGACGUGAAUAUUAGGUCUUUAUUUAUUUUCUUUCUAAUUUUUUAAAUGUUUAUUUAUUUUUGAGAGAGAGAGAGAGAAAGAUUCAGAGCACAAGCAGGGGAGGGGCAGAGAGAGAGGGAGACACAGAAUCUGAAGCAGGCUCCAGGCUCUGAGCUGUCAGCACAGAGGCGGACGCGGGGCUCGAACCCAUGAAGCGUGAGAUCAUGACCUGAACUGAAGCCGGACACCUAACCAACUGAGCCACCCAGGCACCCCGAAAAUUAGGUCUUUAAAAUAGGAGAUAGGGGCACGUGGGUGGCUCAGUCACUGAAGUGUACAACUCUUGGUUUCAGUUCAGAUCAUGAUCUCGUGGUUCGUGGGUUCGAGCCCCACAUCAGGCUCUGCACUGUCAGUGAAGAGUCUGCUUGGGAUUCUCUCUCUUCUCUCUCUCCUGGCCUCUUCCAACUGGGGCAGAGGCUCAUCCCGCCCUCACACUGGCAUCCACAACCCAGGAGAAGAAUGUCCUUCACACACAGAGGAGUGUUGAUCAUACUUUUCAAGUGGCCUUCACCCCAUCUUCAAGAUCUUGCCUCUGAACAACCUUGUAUAACCUCAAGGACCCAUGUCCAUGACCCCUGUGGGCAGUUGAAGAACUGAUCGGGAAAUUCAGGAGUUAAACAUGAGUGUAGUAGUGGUAAGACCUCAAUGGGAUGUGGGCAUCAGCUUCUCGAUCUGCGCUUCUUGGGGCUGUCCCCCCCCCCAAAUGGGGCCCAGUCCUGAAGGGCAUGGCAUCACCACCACGAGAUCCUAUGCAGCAAACUCUAGUCAACCAGGAUCUUGAGUCAACCAGAUGCUCCCCAUCCCAAAUACCCUUUGUACAAUAUUUCAAGGAGGGGGAAAAAAAUAGUAAAACACAGCUCAUAUGUUUUCCAAAAUAUUUUUCUCAUUAUGAAAUUAUUUCCAUUAUGGAAAGGACAAGGAUAAUAAUAAUAAUAAUUGCCACUCUUCUGUGAGCAUGCACCAUAUGUCCAUAUGUCAGGCCUUGUGCUAACUCCUUUACACACAUAAUCUCACUCCUUAGAGGCCCCUGUAAGGAAUCCCAUAUUAGCCAUCACUUCACAUGGGAGGAAGCAGAAGCUAAGAAAGGUCACAUCAGCCCAAAGUCACACGGCUAGUAAGUGGUCAGGCUGGAUUCCAGUUCAGGUCUGUCUGGCUUCAAAGCUGGUAUGCUCCUCCACUCUUUGAUAUUGCCUCCCUAAAUAUCAUUGGUAAUCUCAUCAGGGUUUAUCUAUUUCCUUCCAGACUUUUUCCAUAGCAUUUUUAUUUACUUGAGAACAUUUUAUACAUGCAGUUUUUUACCUUAAAAUUUUAGCACUUAUAAACAUUUCCUCAUAUCCUUAUGAACAGUUUCACUAGCACCAUUUUAAUGGUUGCAUAAUACUGAAUCAAAUGACUUUAUCAGAGUUUACAUAAUCCCUUUCUAUUAGAAGUUGCUUUGUUUCUUCCAGGGUUUUGUUUAGCUUUGUUGCUUCAAUGGGUAAUGUAUAAUUAACACUGUAAUGAACAUCUUUGUUUAUAAAAGCAUCAACAUUUUGAUGGUUUCUUUCGGAUAAAUUCCAAGAAUCUCUUAUUGCCAAAAUUAUUUUCCUUCUCAGCAAUAGCAGAGAUAUCAGAUAAUCAGAGCCAGCCCAGUGCUUGGUUACAAUCAGCCCUAUCUACUGAACCUUCUAUGGCUAUGGUUGACGACACUGAGAACCCAGUGUUCAGAAUGAAGAUCCACAGUUUCUGUGUGACUCUAAGGCACAAGAGGAAAAAAUUUCUUCAGUGAAUACUGGGGGACUUAGGCAAGAAAGUGAGCUCGGGCAAAGAUCUUUGGUCUCCCGAAGAACUCACUAAAAUUGUGAUUUUUAGUCUCAGACCUCCUGAAUUUGAAUGGGCAAUGUCCCGUCACCAACAUUUUAAUCUUACUUUAUGCACACUUAAGACUGAGAGUCAGUGUUGCAGGAAUGCCCAAAGUUGUAGUGGUGGCCAUGAUGCUGACGAGUGGAAGUUGACAGGGUAAUGAUUACUGCCAGCUCUUCCUUCCUUAAUUGCUUCCAUCCAGGUGUGAUGGCAGAACCCUUGAGCUGCAAUUGCACUGACGUGCUAGGCUGAGAUGACAAAUGGCAGCAGAAGGUAGGGUAUGUUCCCCGGGCAGUCACGGGCUCCCGUAAAAGGCUUUCCUUAAGGAAAAGUGCAUGAUUUUGGAGGGAUACACUCUAGUGCUAUGAAUUACCCAGAAAUAGGAAAAAGUGCAAUGUACCAGAAAAGGCCCUUGACUGGGAGUCAAGAGAACUGAGUUUAGAAUCUGGCCCUCUCACCAAAUAUGGAGCUUCACCAACUCAGUUAAUUCCAGAUUUCCAGUCUUACCUCUGAAAUGGAGGGUUGGACUGGAUUUUUGAGCUUUUUUGGAUUUCCGCCCCAUUGGAGGAUCUGAAGGAAGCUAUGAGUCUUCUUCUCAUGAAAGUGUGCGCACAAACAUCAUCAUCAUCAUUACCAUCAUGGUUUUGAACAAUGUUAGCAAAAAUUAACCUAUCAAGCAAAUAUAGGAAAUCUGCAUAUAUUUCUCAGGAUUUGUCCACUUAUGUGAAACCUUAGGUUAUGAACCCCUAGACCAGGUGAUCUUCCAGAUCUCUUUCUGUCCUCACAUACUUGCAUUCUAUCUGUGAAACAGAUCAUGAUUUGUAACGAUUCUCUGUCAAUGUUACAUUUCACUACCUAGGGCAGCUCAUUUCCUGAGAAUUCUGGGUAAUUAAAAAAAUAACAAUAACUCCUACCUUUUAUUGAGAGUGUACUAUGUGUCAGGCACUGUAUUAGGUGUCUAAAUAGAGUCUGUGUCCCAAAAUGAUAUCUAUUUAAUGGAUCACAUAUAUUUUAUAUGAUUAAUCACUUUAGUGGAAGGUUUAGUGAAGGUUUAAGGUUCAAUGUGUAUUGAGCACUUAAUAUAUACAUCACCUCCUUAAAUUCUCACAAUACUUUGAUGUAGGUAGUGUCCUGUUUUGCAGAUGAAAAAAUUGAGGUUCAGAGCUAUUUAAGAGGAAGCCAUCCACCAGCAAGUGGUGGAGCUGGGAUUCAAACCCAGCUUGGUACUCUCCAGCUAGUGCUCCUGUGGGGUGUGCUGCAUUGCUGUCCAUGGUAAACGGGUAACUACUCUGAUUCGCGUGAAGAAUGAUUGCAAGAAUCCAAAGUGUGCUCAAAAUUUUCGACAAAAGGGAUGCAAAAAAUGUCCCCACAGAAGUUCUUCACAUUCAGCUGCACAGUCUUUGUUUCCAACGCCCAGCAAUAUCCAUUUAAUGAGGCAUGUGAGCCUAAGCAUGAUAGCUCGCCUUAGCCUCACCUGACAUAUACUGGGCACCUGCUGAAGGCGAGGUGUUACACUGGCAAGACCGGGGAGUGAGACAUCCGGUGUGUGCCAUCAGGGGCACUGCAUCAGGCCCAGUGUUCCCUCAGCGUGCAACACUGGCUCCAUUCUCACAGUGUGCUAAAUAGGGCAGAUUUAUGGCCCAUGGGCCCUAUCUGGCCCAUUGCUGUCUUACAGAGUUGCUUGUUUGUUUAAUUUUUUUAAGAGAGAGAGAGAAAGAGAGCGAGCACAAAUGGGGGAGAGGCAGAGAGAGAGGGAGAGAGAGAAUCCCAAGUAGACUGUGCACAGUCAACACAGAGCCCAAUGCGGGGCUUGAUCUCAUGAACUCUUGAGAUCAUGACCUGAGCCAAAACCAAGAGUCAGAUGCUUAACCAACAGAGCCACCCAGGUGCCUGAUGUCUUAUAGAAUGUUUUGCUGAGCGCUGCCACACCACACUCAUGUGUCUCUGUCUCGUCCAUGACUGUUUUUGUGCUACAACAGACAAGUCGAGUAGAGUAUGCCCUACAAGGCUGAAAAUAUUUACACUCCUACCCUUUACAGAAAAAUUUGCCGAUCCCUGAUACAGACCAAACAACUAGGUACUAUAUUUCAUCCAAUCUAAACAUCAUUUGUAAUACACAUCAUUUUCAUACAUACUGCCAAGAAAUAAAAAGCAUUAUCACUGUAAGAUGCUGUCCAUUUGGGAGGCCACUGAUUCUGGAGACAUUGAAAUGUGAUAAGAACUGUAUGCCUUACACUUGAAAUUUGGUACUUUUCAGAGAGAUAUUUUAGAGACAUUUUUUAAAAAUGUAAAUAUGGAUUGUCAUAAA